CUUGGUCAUUUAGAGGAAGUAAAAGUCGUAACAAGGUUUCCGUAGGUGAACCUGCGGAAGGAUCAUUAAAAUAAACGGUGCUCCAAUCGGGACACCGUUUAAGAUAACACCCAUUGUAUUACAAGUACCCAUGUUUCCUCGGCGGGUUCGCCCGCCAAUGGGGACCACUAUAGAACCUUUUUGCAAUAGCAGUAAACGUCUAUAAACAAAUAAUCAAAACUUUCAACAACGGAUCUCUUGGUUCUGGCAUCGAUGAAGAACGCAGCGAAAUGCGAUAAGUAGUGUGAAUUGCAGAAUUCAGUGAAUCAUCGAAUCUUUGAACGCACAUUGCGCCCUUUGGUAUUCCUUAGGGCAUGCCUGUUCGAGCGUCAUCUAACCCUUCAAGCUCUGCUUGGUGUUGGGCGCUUGUCCCGCCGCUGGCGUGGACUCGCCUUGAAAACAUUGGUGGCCAUCUGUAGGACUAUUAUGAGCGCAGUACAUCUCGCUGCUCAGGCUCCUCAGGUGGUGUCCAGCAAGAACCCCAAAGAAUUGACCUCGGAUCAGGUAGGGAUACCCGCUGAACUUAAGCAUAUCAAUAAGCGGAGGA
rnacentral:rRNA from 1 species